rnacentral:rRNA from 1 species
AACGAACGCUGGCGGCAUGCCUAACACAUGCCAGUCGAACGAGACCUUUGGGUCUAGUGGCGCACGGGUGCGUAACGCGUGGGAAUCUGCCCUUGGGUUCGGAAUAACAGUGAGAAAUUGCUGCUAAUACCGGAUGAUGUCUUCGGACCAAAGAUUUAUCGCCCAGGGAUGAGCCCGCGUAGGAUUAGCUAGUUGGUGGGGUAAUGGCCUACCAAGGCGACGAUCCUUAGCUGGUCUGAGAGGAUGAUCAGCCACACUGGGAAUGAGACACGGCCCAGAAUCCUACGGGAGGGAGCAGUGGGGAAUAUUGGACAAUGGGCGCAAGCCUGAUCCAGCAAUGCCGGGUGAGUGAUGAAGGCCUUAGGGUUGUAAAGCUCUUUUACCAGGGAUGAUAAUGACAGUACCUGGAGAAUAAGCUCCGGCUAACUCCGUG